rnacentral:rRNA from 1 species
AAAUUGAAGAGUUUGAUCAUGGCUCAGAUUGAACGCUGGCGGCAGGCCUAACACAUGCAAGUCGAACGGUAACAGGAAGCAGCUUGCUGCUUCGCUGACGAGUGGCGGACGGGUGAGUAAUGUCUGGGAAACUGCCUGAUGGAGGGGGAUAACUACUGGAAACGGUGGCUAAUACCGCAUAACGUCGCAAGACCAAAGAGGGGGACCUUCGGGCCUCUUGCCAUCAGAUGUGCCCAGAUGGGAUUAGCUUGUUGGUGAGGUAACGGCUCACCAAGGCGACGAUCCCUAGCUGGUCUGAGAGGAUGACCAGCCACACUGGAACUGAGACACGGUCCAGACUCCUACGGGAGGCAGCAGUGGGGAAUAUUGCACAAUGGGCGCAAGCCUGAUGCAGCCAUGCCGCGUGUAUGAAGAAGGCCUUCGGGUUGUAAAGUACUUUCAGCGGGGAGGAAGGUGUUGUGGUUAAUAACCGCAGCAAUUGACGUUACCCGCAGAAGAAGCACCGGCUAACUCCGUGCCAGCAGCCGCGGUAAUACGGAGGGUGCAAGCGUUAAUCGGAAUUACUGGGCGUAAAGCGCACGCAGGCGGUCUGUCAAGUCGGAUGUGAAAUCCCCGGGCUCAACCUGGGAACUGCAUUCGAAACUGGCAGGCUUGAGUCUUGUAGAGGGGGGUAGAAUUCCAGGUGUAGCGGUGAAAUGCGUAGAGAUCUGGAGGAAUACCGGUGGCGAAGGCGGCCCCCUGGACAAAGACUGACGCUCAGGUGCGAAAGCGUGGGGAGCAAACAGGAUUAGAUACCCUGGUAGUCCACGCCGUAAACGAUGUCUACUUGGAGGUUGUGCCCUUGAGGCGUGGCUUCCGGAGCUAACGCGUUAAGUAGACCGCCUGGGGAGUACGGCCGCAAGGUUAAAACUCAAAUGAAUUGACGGGGGCCCGCACAAGCGGUGGAGCAUGUGGUUUAAUUCGAUGCAACGCGAAGAACCUUACCUGGUCUUGACAUCCACAGAAGAAUCCAGAGAUGGAUUUGUGCCUUCGGGAACUGUGAGACAGGUGCUGCAUGGCUGUCGUCAGCUCGUGUUGUGAAAUGUUGGGUUAAGUCCCGCAACGAGCGCAACCCUUAUCCUUUGUUGCCAGCGAUUAGGUCGGGAACUCAAAGGAGACUGCCAGUG